AUUGAACGCUGGCGGCAGGCCUAACACAUGCAAGUCGAGCGGUAACAGGGGAGCUUGCUCCUGCUGACGAGCGGCGGACGGGUGAGUAAUGUAUGGGGAUCUGCCCGAUAGAGGGGGAUAACUACUGGAAACGGUGGCUAAUACCGCAUAAUGUCGCAAGACCAAAGAGGGGGACCUUCGGGCCUCUUGCUAUCGGAUGAACCCAUAUGGGAUUAGCUAGUAGGUGAGGUAAUGGCUCACCUAGGCGACGAUCUCUAGCUGGUCUGAGAGGAUGACCAGCCACACUGGAACUGAGACACGGUCCAGACUCCUACGGGAGGCAGCAGUGGGGAAUAUUGCACAAUGGGGGAAACCCUGAUGCAGCCAUGCCGCGUGUGUGAAGAAGGCCUUAGGGUUGUAAAGCACUUUCAGUCGGGAGGAAGGGGUUGGGGUUAAUAGCCUUAAUCAUUGACGUUACUGACAGAAGAAGCACCGGCUAACUCCGAGCCAGCAGCCGCCGUAA
rnacentral:rRNA from 1 species